CAAGAGUAAUGCAGUUUAGAAUGAAAACACUGAUUUAAACUGUAGCCUUCUCAACAAGCUGAAAUACCCAGGGUUCAAUUUAUGAUAAUUAAUUAUUCCUCUACUGCAGAAGACCUGGCAGACCCAGCACAGCCCCAACACUUUUGAAUGUUUGUUCACUCACAUGUGGCUCCUUUCCCAAUCAGUGUGAGCACCCGAGGUAGGUAUUCAGUGAGUGGGCUGAUGGGCUGUGAGCGGAGGCCACUGCCACUAGACCUCCCUAUUUAUAGUGAGAAAUAGAUAAAAGAAAUGCCACUGGCUUGGCUACUCAGACAGACAUGGAGAGGAACAAGAAAUCUAGCAAGCUAGUGGUCCCCUCAGUGGAGGAUAAGCAGGUUAGGAAGAAGCGACUAUCCUUGAAACAAGGAACUGAACCUGAUAUGCUGCUUCCCCAAAUUAUUCCUUUAGUAGCAGGACUGACAACCCCACCUCUCUCCAGCCCCAACCAAGGGAAAAGGUUUGUUGUCACUGCAUUCCAAGGAGCAUAAAAGAACCACAGAGAAUACCCACCUAUUGGGCAAGUGACCCAGCCUAUUGCAUCUUGGAGACCAGAUCUACAGUGAAAAGAACAAGCCUUCUCCAAAUCUGUUCUUGUUGGUGGAGGGGAUGGAGAUCAGAGAGCCUAUUUUAGGAAUACUUAUCCUACUGUCAGGGAAGGAGGACAACAGAGGCUCUACCUGCAGAGAUAGCCUGAGUAUAGAACUGAUCUGUGGUUUGCAUGGCUGGGGCCUUGUGGUGCAAUUUGGUGAGACCACUGGGUUUUUCUUGAGACAGGACAGUUGGACCAUGUGGUUUGCUUGAGUUGGAAGAACAAUGGGAUAGGACUAGGCCAUUUAAAUAAGGGCUACAUAGCGCGUUUGGCCCAAGCUGUAUGUGCCUUUAUAUUGUGAACUCUUUGGGGCAAAGACUCAACUAUAUAUAGUAAGUAAACUAUGCCAUAUAAAUAUGUACAUGCACUUACAGAAUAAACAAUGAAUAGUGAUAUGCCAGAAUCUGCCACACUUACUCAGGUUGGGCAAUACAUAUUCACACCAUUGGUGUGAAUGGGACACCUCACAUGAGAAAGCACUACUUCUGUAUGAUUGAAGACCAUUUGUAUCAUUGUUGCUAUCACUGAUCUACAGUUGCAACUAAUCUUAUACAAAGUAUGUCAUUGCUAAGGUAUCAGUGGCAAAGUUGUACUCUGCCAGGUAAAACAAUCCUGUUUAUAUGCAUGUAUCAUCUUUGUAUCUGAAGUUAUGAAUAUUUGCUAUGUAUUUGUAUCUCAAACAUGUGUGGUGUUCUUGGGUGACAACCUCAAGAUAGUUUUACAUCCUGUCUAGCCAGCCCAGUCGGGAUGAACUGGACUAUUGAAGCUUGAUGGGCCAUUAAGACAAAUCGAGUCUCCAGAUAUCUCUUCCUGCAGAUGCUUCAAACAGCAAGGAGCCACCCUUGUGAUUCAGCAAAACAUGUAAGGGCAUAUGAUAUGGACAUGUGACCUUGGACUCCAUCUUUGUCAGUAACUUUCCAUACACAGGGACUGAGGGCUUUGUUUGGGACAGUAAAUUUCCAUGCUAAUGGCAGAAGAAAUAAGACACCUGAGACAUCUCCAUCUUGCCUCAUUCCUGCUCCAAUUCUCUGGACUGUGGAUUUACAACUAAAAAGAGUAUUUUGAACUAUGGACUGAGAACUCUCCAAUCUUUUGGAAGUUACCAGAGAGACUUUUGCAAGCCAGCAGUCUAUUCCAUCACGGCUAUGAUCCUGACCUAUGAACACUGAAAAUCACUUUUGGAUACCUUCAAACCUAUGGACAAGAUUAUGUUAGUGUACUUCAUCCUGCUGAGGGGUCCUACUGUGACCAUUAUCCAUGGAGUCCAUGGGCCAAGCUGUUCAAAAACCUGCAAUAAUGGAGCAUAGAGCAGAGAGAGGAAAUGAUACCUACUAGAUACAAAAUUCUUGUGGCCGACUGUAUACAGUGUGGGACUCUCAGACCUGCAACUAGCAGGCUUGUCUUAUCAACUACCAACUUGGAGACAUUGAUCCUUGGUCAGAAUGUGACCCGUGUGUUAAAAAAAAGCAGCACGACUGCGGAAGGUGGGGAACACAAAUACCUUGGCCCUGAUCCUGCAAACUGAUCUGCAUGAGCGAACUCCCACACAUCCCCAUUGAGAUUAUUGAGGCAUGGCA